rnacentral:rRNA from 1 species
AGAGUUUGAUCAUGGCUCAGAUUGAACGCUGGCGGCAGGCCUAACACAUGCAAGUCGAACGGUAACAUUUCUAGCUUGCUAGAAGAUGACCAGUGGCGGACGGGUGAGUUAUGCUUGGGAACUUGCCUUUGCCAGGGGGAUAACAGUUGGAAACGACUGCUAAUACCGCAUAACGUCUACGGAC